UACGUAGGUGACCAGCGUUGUCCGGAUUUACUGGGCGUAAAGAGCGCGCAGGCGGUCGUUCAAGUCGAGUGUGAAAGCCCCCGGCUCAACUGGGGAGGGUCGUUCGAUACUGAUCGACUCGAAGGCAGGAGAGGGAAGCGGAAUUCCAGGUGUAGCGGUGAAAUGCGUAGAUAUCUGGAGGAACACCGGUGGCGAAGGCGGCAUCCUGGACCGGCAUUGACGCUGAGGCGCGAAAGCUAGGGGAGCAAACGGG
rnacentral:rRNA from 1 species